rnacentral:rRNA from 1 species
AGUGAACGCUGGCGGUAGGCCUAACACAUGCAAGUCGAACGGCAGCACAGUAAGAGCUUGCUCUUACGGGUGGCGAGUGGCGGACGGGUGAGGAAUACAUCGGAAUCUACUUUUUCGUGGGGGAUAACGUAGGGAAACUUACGCUAAUACCGCAUACGACCUACGGGUGAAAGCAGGGGAUAUUCGGACCUUGCGCGAUUGAAUGAGCCGAUGUCGGAUUAGCUAGUUGGCGGGGUAAAGGCCCACCAAGGCAACGAUCCGUAGCUGGUCUGAGAGGAUGAUCGGCCACACUGGAACUGAGACACGGUCCAGACUCCUACGGGAGGCAGCAGUGGGGAAUAUUGCACAAUGGGCGAAAGCCUGAUCCAGCCAUGCCGCGUGGGUGAAGAAGGCCUUCGGGUUGUAAAGCCCUUUUGUUGGGAAAGAAAAGCAGCAGGUUAAUACCCCGCUGUUCUGACGGUACCCAAAGAAUAAGCACCGGCUAACUUCGUG